AUUGAACGCUGGCGGCAUGCUUUACACAUGCAAGUCGAACGGCAGCGCGGGCUUCGGCCUGGCGGCGAGUUGCGAACGGGUGAGUAAUACAUCGGAACGUGCCCAGUAGUGGGGGAUAGCUCGGCGAAAGCCGGAUUAAUACCGCAUACGACCUGAUGGUGAAAGCGGGGGAUCUUCGGACCUCGCGCGAUUUGAGCGGCCGAUGGCAUAUUAGCUAGUUGGUGGGGUAAAGGCCUACCAAGGCGACGAUCUGUAGCUGGGCUGAGAGGACGACCAGCCACACUGGGACUGAGACACGGCCCAGACUCCUACGGGAGGCAGCAGUGGGGAAUUUUGGACAAUGGGCGAAAGCCUGAUCCAGCAAUGCCGCGUGUGUGAUGAAGGCCUUCGGGUUGUAAAGCACUUUUGGCGGGAACGAAAAGGACUGUGCCAAUCCCACGGUUCGAUGACGGUACCCGAAGAAUAAGCACCGGCUAACUACGUG
rnacentral:rRNA from 1 species